rnacentral:rRNA from 1 species
GAUGAACGCUGGCGGCGUGCCUAAUACAUGCAAGUCGAGCGAACGGACGAGAAGCUUGCUUCUCUGAUGUUAGCGGCGGACGGGUGAGUAACACGUGGAUAACCUACCUAUAAGACUGGGAUAACUUCGGGAAACCGUAGCUAAUACCGGAUAAUAUUUUGAACCGCAUGGUUCAAAAGUGAAAGGCGGUCUUGCUGUCACUUAUAGAUGGAUCCGCGCUGCAUUAGCUAGUUGGUAAGGUAACGGCUUACCAAGGCAACGAUGCAUAGCCGACCUGAGAGGGUGAUCGGCCACACUGGAACUGAGACACGGUCCAGACUCCUACGGGAGGCAGCAGUAGGGAAUCUUCCGCAAUGGGCGAAAGCCUGACGGAGCAACGCCGCGUGAGUGAUGAAGGUCUUCGGAUCGUAAAACUCUGUUAUUAGGGAGGAACAUAUGUGUAAGUAACUGUGCACAUCUUGACGGUACCUAAUCAGAAAGCCACGGCUAACUACGUG